rnacentral:rRNA from 1 species
GACGAACCGAGCGAACGUUGUUCGGAAUAACUGGGCUUAAAGGGCGCGUAGGCGGGCCGCCAAGUUCAAGGUGAAAUCCUCCGGCUCAACCGGAGAACUGCCUCGAAUACUGGAGGUCUCGAGGGUGGUAGGGGCACGCGGAACUGUGGGUGGAGCGGUGAAAUGCGUUGAUAUCCACAGGAACUCCGGUGGCGAAGGCGGCGUGCUGGACCACAUCUGACGCUGAGGCGCGAAAGCCAGGGGAGCAAACGGG